rnacentral:rRNA from 1 species
GGAAACCCAGCAUGAGUUAUGUCAUGUUAUCGAUAUGUGAAUACAUAGCAUAUCAGAAGGCACACCCGGAGAACUGAAACAUCUUAGUACCCGGAGGAAGAGAAAGAAAAUUCGAUUCCCUUAGUAGCGGCGAGCGAAACGGGAAGAGCCCAAACCAACAAGCUUGCUUGUUGGGGUUGUAGGACACUCUAUACGGAGUUACAAAGGACGACAUUAGACGAAUCAUCUGGAAAGAUGAAUCAAAGAAGGUAAUAAUCCUGUAGUCGAAAAUGUUGUCUCUCUUGAGUGGAUCCUGAGUACGACGGAGCACGUGAAAUUCCGUCGGAAUCUGGGAGGACCAUCUCCUAAGGCUAAAUACUCUCUAGUGACCGAUAGUGAACCAGUACCGUGAGGGAAAGGUGAAAAGCACCCCGGAAGGGGAGUGAAAUAGAACCUGAAACCGUGUGCUUACAAGUAGUCAGAGCCCGUUAAUGGGUGAUGGCGUGCCUUUUGUAGAAUGAACCGGCGAGUUACGAUUUGAUGCAAGGUUAAGCAGUAAAUGUGGAGCCGUAGCGAAAGCGAGUCUGAAUAGGGCGUUUAGUAUUUGGUCGUAGACCCGAAACCAGGUGAUCUACCCUUGGUCAGGUUGAAGUUCAGGUAACACUGAAUGGAGGACCGAACCGACUUACGUUGAAAAGUGAGCGGAUGAACUGAGGGUAGCGGAGAAAUUCCAAUCGAACCUGGAGAUAGCUGGUUCUCUCCGAAAUAGCUUUAGGGCUAGCCUCAAGUGAUGAUUAUUGGAGGUAGAGCACUGUUUGGACGAGGGGCCCCUCUCGGGUUACCGAAUUCAGACAAACUCCGAAUGCCAAUUAAUUUAACUUGGGAGUCAGAACAUGGGUGAUAAGGUCCGUGUUCGAAAGGGAAACAGCCCAGACCACCAGCUAAGGUCCCAAAAUAUAUGUUAAGUGGAAAAGGAUGUGGCGUUGCCCAGACAACUAGGAUGUUGGCUUAGAAGCAGCCAUCAUUUAAAGAGUGCGUAAUAGCUCACUAGUCGAGUGACACUGCGCCGAAAAUGUACCGGGGCUAAACAUAUUACCGAAGCUGUGGAUUGUCCUUUGGACAAUGGUAGGAGAGCGUUCUAAGGGCGUUGAAGCAUGAUCGUAAGGACAUGUGGAGCGCUUAGAAGUGAGAAUGCCGGUGUGAGUAGCGAAAGACGGGUGAGAAUCCCGUCCACCGAUUGACUAAGGUUUCCAGAGGAAGGCUCGUCCGCUCUGGGUUAGUCGGGUCCUAAGCUGAGGCCGACAGGCGUAGGCGAUGGAUAACAGGUUGAUAUUCCUGUACCACCUAUAAUCGUUUUAAUCGAUGGGGGGACGCAGUAGGAUAGGCGAAGCGUGCGAUUGGAUUGCACGUCUAAGCAGUAAGGCUGAGUAUUAGGCAAAUCCGGUACUCGUUAAGGCUGAGCUGUGAUGGGGAGAAGACAUUGUGUCUUCGAGUCGUUGAUUUCACACUGCCGAGAAAAGCCUCUAGAUAGAAAAUAGGUGCCCGUACCGCAAACCGACACAGGUAGUCAAGAUGAGAAUUCUAAGGUGAGCGAGCGAACUCUCGUUAAGGAACUCGGCAAAAUGACCCCGUAACUUCGGGAGAAGGGGUGCUCUUUAGGGUUAACGCCCAGAAGAGCCGCAGUGAAUAGGCCCAAGCGACUGUUUAUCAAAAACACAGGUCUCUGCUAAACCGUAAGGUGAUGUAUAGGGGCUGACGCCUGCCCGGUGCUGGAAGGUUAAGAGGAGUGGUUAGCUUCUGCGAAGCUACGAAUCGAAGCCCCAGUAAACGGCGGCCGUAACUAUAACGGUCCUAAGGUAGCGAAAUUCCUUGUCGGGUAAGUUCCGACCCGCACGAAAGGCGUAACGAUUUGGGCACUGUCUCAACGAGAGACUCGGUGAAAUCAUAGUACCUGUGAAGAUGCAGGUUACCCGCGACAGGACGGAAAGACCCCGUGGAGCUUUACUGUAGCCUGAUAUUGAAAUUCGGCACAGCUUGUACAGGAUAGGUAGGAGCCUUUGAAACGUGAGCGCUAGCUUACGUGGAGGCGCUGGUGGGAUACUACCCUAGCUGUGUUGGCUUUC